UGUUUCGUUUUGACGCAGGAGAAGUUUUUGGCAGCCAAUAUCAUCGCUUCGUCGUCGCCUUGAAAACAUGAAAGCAGCCACAGCAGCAGCGGCAGCAUAGAAAGAUUCGGAAGAAAAUCAGUACAUUGCCGAAUUCGUUUAGUUUUUAUGCGUACUUUAGUGCUGCCCAGGGUUCUCCGGUACUGUUCCGAGCUAGCGGCAGGUUGCAGUGUCCUGGAAAAAGAUUCGUCACUGAAGUAAAACAGAUUCCCGGAGUUUCAAAAGGAAACACACAUCGUCGUUAACAACGUUCGGGAAUUCAAACACUCUUUGCUUAUAUAGUUGAAGGAGGAAAUCGAUAAGACUGAAUCAAAACGCAAACCGAAGAAGAACAGGCAACUUGCAUCAGGCGGAAGCAGAGAAAACACGCAGAAACUAUCCCCAACAAUCCAGAGAAUAUAAGUUUUUAGUGGCGCACCGACUCCGAAACAGACUUCAAAAUAGACAGAACACAAAUGCCCAGAGGGAAACGUCGGUCCGCAGCCGAGAUGGGACCCAGUGAAGACGACCGGCACUCGUCCAAGAGGCAGAGAAAUGCCUACCAGACCAGUCAAAGCUCUCGGCGGUUCAGUAAAAUAGACGAUGCAUUCAGUCAAAAACGAUGCCUGACCUGGUUCCACGAGUACACAACGCCCGAUGAUCCGGAUACGUUAGGUCCAGAGGGCAUGGAGAAGUUCUGCGAAGAUAUUGGCGUUGAACCGGAAAAUGUGGCAAUGCUGGUGCUGGCCUAUAAAAUGGGUGCACGUCAAAUGGGUUUCUUCACACAGAGCGAGUGGCUGAAAGGACUGACGGAUUUGCAGUGCGACACGGCCGGCAAAGUACAGUGCAAACUUGACUACCUGCGUAAUCUCCUGAACGAUCCAAACGCGUUCAAAACCAUCUACAGAUAUGCGUACGAUUUCGCUAGGGAUAAAGAUCAGCGCAGUAUGGAUAUUGAGACUGCAAAAGCGAUGCUGCAGUUACUACUUGGCAAGCACUGGCCCCUCUACGCACAAUUCGCCCAGUUUCUGGAGCAGUCCAAGUACAAAGUGAUCAACAAGGAUCAGUGGUGUAAUAUCCUCGAAUUUUCACGUACUAUUUCAAACGAUCUAAACAACUACGAUGUUGAUGGCGCAUGGCCUGUAAUGCUGGAUGAAUUCGUCGAAUGGAUGAGACUGCUGCGGUCACAAGCGACGAUUAGCUGAGGAAUGUAUUACUAAUGUGGACAUCUCAGUGAUUUUGAUGGCCAUUCGCAGCAGCACACAAUACAACAAAAAAUCAACAACCAAUGCACAUACAACACAAUAAUUACUGCUUCUUCACUUGCAUCCAGCCGCCGCCAGGCUUUCGUUUAUGCCGGUUUUUAGGCUUAAACCUUUAUAUUUUAUGAAAAACCAAAUAAACAACGUGGAAAACAUAGGCAGAGCUGGGGAUGGUAGAAGCUGAGAAAGAAGAUAGCUGACGGUUCAGAGUAGGCUCAGCAGAAUUUCAGAAAUCGGAAUAUACUACGUACUAAUCUACCCAAAACCAACACAUUAUAAAAAGUUUGGACUUUCCUCGAAAAAAUAACAUACACAGCAAAAUUAUUCAUCAGGAACAUAAAGCAUAAAUUACCAAAAUUAAAUCAACAUACCUACAUAAUAAAAUCAUUUAGGACUCUCCCAUUAUGGCUAAUAUAAAAUGAAAUACAUGUUACUCUGGGUAAUAAAGAGAAGAAAAAUAGCAACACAAACAAAAGUGAGAAAGUAGAAGUGUGCAGAGCAAUAACGAGUAAAAACGGGAACCGAACAGGCUGAGGACAGAACCGAAAGAUGAUUAUGAAGCAUCAGGGUACAAGCCACUGUAUUUUGGACAUCAUCUUUGAAGUUGGGCACGACAACAAAAGUGAUACGAGGAAAAUCAUCUCUGUAAAGUGAAAAUAGAAAUAAAGUAAGAAAACGACAACAACUGGGUUCAAUAAAGUCGAAUAAACUA